rnacentral:lncRNA from 1 species
UGAGAUUAGAGGUGAGUUGAACUUCUUUUAUGAUGACAAUAAAUCGCUGCUGAUUGGAGGGCAGGAUAAGAAUGGGAUCUUGCCGGGUUGUGGUGGAUAGAAAGAUGACUUUGGGACAUGGUGUGUCAAUGACACCAAUGUUUGUGUCACUAGCAAGGAAUAGGCGGCUGAUGGUGUUGGUAGGUAUUGCUGCUAGCUAAGCUAGCACUUAAUUUGCCUAUGUGUGGAUUGAGGCAGUAGAGGGAUUAGCAACUAGCACUGUGAUUUAUACACAGCAGUGGCAAUCAUAUAGGCCAUGGGUUACUAUUGCACGACAUUGUUCAAAUAGCCAUUGCCAAGGUUGAAUCUUGACGAAGUGAUUGGUAGGGCAAGCAAAAGAUGUGUUAGUGUGGUAGACAUGUUGCAAGAACAGUGGUAUUGUAAAGUCAUGUGAUGCAUUGUUGUGUAGUAAUACAACUAUAUAAUGAAAGAAAAAAAGAAGGAUUACAUUAUAGAUGAGCUUAAAUGAAAAUACUUAAGCAAAUUAUCAUAGAAUAUAUAGAUAACAAAUAAAGAGGUAGUAAAAAUUAAUAAAUGCUAAUGUUGUUUUCUUGAAGAAGAGACUUCUAUUUACUUUGAAGGAGGAUAAGGGAACCAAAUCAAAGUAAUUGAAACAAAUAAUUGAUAUAGACAUUUUUAGGAAAAAAUUAAGAAUAGAAUUUAGCAAAAAUUACCUCAAAAUAUGAAAGAGGUCAAAAUCAGACCUUGAGGCAUAUAACCAUGCAUCUACAAUAAUUCCAAGGUUUUUUUGGUUAAUAAAAAAGUAGGAUUUGAAAACAAACUUAUGAGAAGAUUUUUGCAAGUUA